GGAUGUGAGGGCCAUCUGGCUGCGACAUCUGUCACCCCAUUGAUCACCAGGGUUGAUUUGGCUGAUCUGGCUGGCUAGGCGGGUAUUCCCUUCCUCUCUCACUGUUCCAUGUGCACCCUUCCCAAAGCUGUGCGCUUGGUGGAGGAGGGCGACCUUCCUCAAUAGAGGAGGACCAUUCUUUGGUGAAGGGUAUACGAGUAGCUGUGCUCGCCGUUAGCACCUCCAAACAGGCACUCAAAUAGUGUUCAUUCUAUUUAACUAUCUACCCAUAUUGUCAUACUCAUUAAUCAUCUCACUUUAU
rnacentral:snRNA from 1 species